GCCGCCGUGGGGUAGCCUGUGGCCUAGCCUGCGGGACUGUGGAUCCCGUGACCCGGGUUCAAAUCCCGGCGGCGGCC
rnacentral:tRNA from 1 species